rnacentral:tRNA from 1 species
UCCGACGAGGCGGAUUCGAACCAACUACUUAAGGAUCACUGCACACAAUCUGCAGUCCUCCGCUCUACCAACUGAGCUACCGUCGG